rnacentral:rRNA from 1 species
AGAACGAACGCUGGCGGCAUGCCUAACACAUGCAAGUCGAACGCUCUUGGGGCUUCGGUUCCAAGGGAGUGGCGCACGGGUGAGUAGCGCGUGGGAACCUGCCCUGGAGUGGGGGGAUAACCGAGGGAAACUUCGGCUAAUACCGCAUGCGCCCGGGAAACCGGGGAAAGAUUUAUCGCUCUAGGAGGGGCCCGCGUCGGAUUAGCUAGUUGGUGGGGUAACGGCCUACCAAGGCUUUGAUCCGUAGCUGGUCUGAGAGGAUGAUCAGCCACACUGGGACUGAGACACGGCCCAGACUCCUACGGGAGGCAGCAGUGGGGAAUAUUGGACAAUGGGCGCAAGCCUGAUCCAGCAAUGCCGCGUGAGUGAUGAAGGCCUUCGGGUUGUAAAGCUCUUUCGCACGCGAGGAUGAUGACGCUAGCGUGAGAAGAAGCCCGGCUAACUCGCGCCAGCAGCCGC